GUAAUAGCUCACUAGUCGAGAGGUCCUGCGCCGAAAAUGUCCGGGGCUGAAACACCACACCGAAGCUCAGGAAUCACACAUAAGUGUGAUUGGUAGAGGAGCAUUGCAUACGGAAUGAAGCAGUACCGAUAAGGAGCUGUGGACUGUAUGGAAGAGAGAAUGCCGGAAUGAGUAGCGAGAAUGAAGUGAGAAUCUUCAUGGCCGAAUAUCCAAGGUUUCCGGGGUAAAGCUGAUCUGCCCCGGGUAAGUCGGGACCUAAGGCGAGGCUUAAGUGCGUAGCCGAUGGACAACAGGUUUAGAUUCCUGUACUUCCCAUGAACAGAACUGUGGGGACACAGCAGACGGAGCGCGAGCCGGAAAAGGAAAGUCCGGCGCAAGCGGUGAGUGUGUCAGGAGGCAAACCCCCUGUAUAAACACAAGCCGUGAUGCGGAGCGAAAUACAAGUAGCGAAGAGUGCCGAGCCGCUGUCGAGAAAAGCCGCUAUUGUUUUGUGGGAACCCGUACCGUAAACCGACACAGGUGGAUGAGGAGAGAAUCCUAAGGCCGGCGGGAGAAGCAUUGUUAAGGAACUCGGCAAAAUGACCCCGUAACUUCGGGAGAAGGGGUGCCUGCAGGGAUACCUGCAGGCCGCAGAGAACUGGCCCAAGCAACUGUUUAACAAAAACACAGGUUUAUGCAAAACCGAAAGGUGAAGUAUAUGAGCUGACGCCUGCCCGGUGCUGGAAGGUUACGAGGAGAUGUUAGAGCAAUCGAAGCAUUGAAUUUAAGCCCCAGUAAACGGCGGCCGUAACUAUAACGGUCCUAAGGUAGCGAAAUUCCUUGUCGGGUAAGUUCCGACCCGCACGAAAGGCGUAAUGAUUUGGGCACUGUCUCGACAAUGCACCCGGUGAAAUUGAAAUACCAGUGAAGAUGCUGGUUACCCGCGCCAGGACGGAAAGACCCCAUGGAGCUUUACUCCAGUUUGAUACUGGGAUUCGGUACUGCAUGCACAGGAUAGGUGGGAGACUAAGAAGCGAGGACUCCGGUUUUCGCAGAGUCGCUGUUGGGAUACCACCCCUGUGGUGCUGGAUUUCUAACCUGCGCCCGUGAUCCGGGCGGGGGACAAUGUCAGGCGGGGAGUUUGACUGGGGCGGUCGCCUCCGAAAGGGUAUCGGAGGCGCUCA
rnacentral:rRNA from 1 species